UCUCUGAUAGCUCAGUGGUAGAGCAAUCGGCUGUUAACCGAUUGGUCGUAGGUUCGAAUCCUACUCAGAGAG
rnacentral:tRNA from 1 species